rnacentral:SRP_RNA from 1 species
GCUGGGCAUGGUGGUACAUGCCUGUAAUCCCAGCUACUCGGGAGGCUGAGGCAGGAGAAUCGCUUGAACCUGGGAGGUGGAGG